GAAUAUUGGACAAUGGGCGCAAGCCUGAUCCAGCCAUACCGCGUGGGUGAAGAAGGCCUUCGGGUUGUAAAGCCCUUUUGUUGGGAAAGAAAAGCAGUCGGCUAAUACCCGGUUGUUCUGACGGUACCCAAAGAAUAAGCCCCGGCUAACUUCGUGCCAGCCACCGCGGUAAUAAGAAGGGUGCAAGAGUUACUCGAAAUGACUGGGCGUAAAGCGUGCGUAGGUGGUGGUUUAAGUCUGUUGGGAAAGCCCUGGGCUCAACCUGGGAAUUGCAGUGGAUACUGGGAGACUAGAGUGUGGUAGAGGGUAGUGGAAUUCCCGGUGUAGCAGUGAAAUGCGUAGAGAUCGGGAGGAACAUCCAUGGCGAAGGCAGCUACCUGGACCAACACUGACACUGAGGCACGAAAGCGUGGGGAGCAAACAG
rnacentral:rRNA from 1 species